UGAUACGGCCAUACCACCCUGAACGCGCCAGAUCUCGUCUGAUCUCGGAAGCUAAGCAGGGUCGGGCCUGGUUAGUACUUGGAUGGGAGAACUUAAUGCUUAUUUCUUAACACUGAGGAUGUCAGGUUUUGGCUCAA
rnacentral:rRNA from 1 species